GACGAACGCUGGCGGCGUGCUUAACACAUGCAAGUCGAACGAAGCUUGAUUACGGAUUCUUCGGAUGAAGUAUGAUAUGACUGAGUGGCGGACGGGUGAGUAACGCGUGAGUAACCUGCCCUUCAGAGGGGGAUAGCGUUUGGAGACGAACGGUAAUACCGCAUAAUGUAUUUUGACCGCAUGAUCGAAAUACCAAAGAUUUAUCGCUGAAGGAUGGACUCGCGUCUGAUUAGGUAGUUGGUGGGGUAACGGCCUACCAAGCCGACGAUCAGUAGCCGGACUGAGAGGUUGAUCGGCCACAUUGGGACUGAGACACGGCCCAGACUCCUACGGGAGGCAGCAGGGGGGAAUAUUGCACAAUGGGCGCAAGCCUGAUGCAGCAACGCCGCGUGAAGGAAGACGGUUUUCGGAUUGUAAACUUCUGUUCUUAGUGAAGAAUAAUGACGGUAGCUAAGGAGCAAGCCACGGCUAACUACGUG
rnacentral:rRNA from 1 species